rnacentral:rRNA from 1 species
UCAACCGAGACUCCGCAGGUAGUGGCGAGCGAACGCGGACCAGGCCAGUGGCAAUGAUGAAUAAAGCGGAACGAUUUGGAAAAGUCGGCCAUAGAGGGUGAUAGCCCCUUACGCGUAGAACAGUCAUUGUCCUUGAGUAGGGCGGGACACGUGAAAUCCUGUCUGAACAUGGGGAGACCACUCUCCAAGCCUAAGUACUCGUGCAUGACCGAUAGCGAACAAGUACCGUGAGGGAAAGGUGAAAAGCACCCCGACGAGGGGAGUGAAAUAGAACCUGAAACCGGAUGCCUACAAACAGUCGGAGCCCGCAAGGGUGACGGCGUACCUUUUGUAUAAUGGGUCAACGACUUAGUGUAACUAGCAAGCUUAAGCCGGUAGGUGUAGGCGCAGCGAAAGCGAGUGUUAAUAGCGCGACAUAGUUAGUUGCAUUAGACCCGAAACCGAGUGAUCUAGCCAUGAGCAGGCUGAAGGUUGGGUAACACCAACUGGAGGGCCGAACCCAUAACUGUUGCAAUAGUUCGGGAUGACUUGUGGCUAGGGGUGAAAGGCCAAUCAAACUCGGAAAUAGCUGGUUCUCCGCGAAAUCUAUUUAGGUAGAGCGUCGACCUUAUACCCUCGGGGGUAGAGCACUGGAUGGGCUAUGGGGACUCACCGUCUUACUGAUCCUAACCAAACUCCGAAUACCGAGGAGUACUAGUCGGCAGACACACGGCGGGUGCUAACGUCCGUCGUGAAAAGGGCAACAACCCUGACCUCCAGCUAAGGUCCCCAAGUCAUGGCUAAGUGGGAAAGGAUGUGAGGAUCCCAAAACAACCAGGAUGUUGGCUUAGAAGCAGCCAUCAUUUAAAGAAAGCGUAACAGCUCACUGGUCUAAAUAAGGGUCUUUGCGCCGAAAAUGUAACGGGGCUAAAGCCAUGCACCGAAGCUGAGGAUUUGCACUUUGUGCAAGUGGUAGCGGAGCGUUCCGUAAGUCUGUGAAGGGGUACCUGUGAGGGGCCCUGGAGAUAUCGGAAGUGCGAAUGUUGACAUGAGUAACGAUAAAGGGAGUGAGAGACUCCCUCGCCGAAAGACCAAGGGUUCCUGCUUAAAGUUAAUCUGAGCAGGGUUAGCCGGCCCCUAAGACGAGGCGGACACGCGUAGUCGAUGGGAACCACGUUAAUAUUCGUGGGCCUGGUGGUAGUGACGGAUCUCGUGUGUUGUUCAACCUUAUUGGAUUGGUUGGGCGGCGAAGAGGUUCCAGGAAAUAGCUCCACCGUAUAGACCGUACCCGAAACCGACACAGGUGGUCAGGUAGAGUAUACCAAGGCGCUUGAGAGAACUAUGUUGAAGGAACUCGGCAAAUUGCACGCGUAACUUCGGAAGAAGCGUGACCCUUUUGUACGCAAGUAUGAUGGGGUGGCACAGACCAGGGGGUAGCGACUGUUUAUCAAAAACACAGGGCUCUGCGAAGUAGCAAUACGACGUAUAGGGUCUGACGCCUGCCCGGUGCUGGAAGGUUAAAGGGAGGGGUGCAAGCUCUGAACUGAAGCCCCAGUAAACGGCGGCCGUAACUAUAACGGUCCUAAGGUAGCGAAAUUCCUUGUCGGGUAAGUUCCGACCUGCACGAAUGGCGUAACGACUUCCCCGCUGUCUCCAACAUAGACUCAGUGAAAUUGAAUUCCCCGUGAAGAUGCGGGGUUCCUGCGGUCAGACGGAAAGACCCCGUGCACCUUUACUAUAGCUUUACACUGGCAUUCGCCAAGGCAUGUGUAGGAUAGGUGGUAGGCUUUGAAGCAGGGACGCCAGUUUCUGUGGAGCCAUCCUUGAAAUACCACCCUUAUCUUCGUGGAUGUCUAACCGCGGUCCGUUAUCCGGAUCCGGGACAGUGUAUGGUGGGUAGUUUGACUGGGGCGGUCGCCUCCGAAAGAGUAACGGAGGCGCGCGAUGGUUAGCUCAGACCGGUCGGAAAUCGGUCGUCGAGUGCAAUGGCAUAAGCUAGCCUGACUGCGAGACUGACAAGUCGAGCAGAGACGAAAGUCGGUCAUAGUGAUCCGGUGGUCCCGUGUGGAAGGGCCAUCGCUCAACGGAUAAAAGGUACGCCGGGGAUAACAGGCUGAUGACCCCCAAGAGUCCAUAUCGACGGGGUUGUUUGGCACCUCGAUGUCGACUCAUCGCAUCCUGGGGCUGGAGCAGGUCCCAAGGGUAUGGCUGUUCGCCAUUUAAAGCGGUACGUGAGUUGGGUUCAGAACGUCGUGAGACAGUUCGGUCCCUAUCUGCCGUGGGUGUAGGAAUAUUGACAGGAUCUGUCCCUAGUACGAGAGGACCGGGAUGGACGUAUCUCUGGUGGAUCUGUUGUCCUGCCAAGGGCAUAGCAGAGUAGCUAUAUACGGAAUGGAUAACCGCUGAAGGCAUCUAAGCGGGAAACCAACCUGAAAACGAGUGUUCCCUAUCAGAGCCGUGGAAGACGACCACGUCGAUAGGACGGGUGUGGAAGCACAGCAAUGUGUGAAGCUUACCGUUACUAAUAGCUCGAUCGACUUCUUCGUUCCCAUU